rnacentral:snRNA from 1 species
AUCGCUUCUCGGCCUUUUGGCUAAGAUCAAGUGUAAAAAUUGUCCAUUGAAUUUUAUUAUUUUCUUUAUAAGGUCUUAAUUUUAAAGAGUUGUUAAUAAAGAUCUAAACUGGAUGGUUCCAGGUAAUGUCUGUAAAUGCUGUCCUGACACUCCAGAGGGGCAGGCCAGGUAUGCUGUAG